rnacentral:rRNA from 1 species
CUAACACAUGCAAGUCGAACGAGCGAGAGAGAUCUUGCUUUCUCAAGCGAGUGGCGAACGGGUGAGUAACGCGUGAGGAACCUGCCUCAAAGAGGGGGACAACAGUUGGAAACGACUGCUAAUACCGCAUAAGCCCACGGCUCGGCAUCGAGCAGAGGGAAAAGGAGCAAUCCGCUUUGAGAUGGCCUCGCGUCCGAUUAGCUAGUUGGUGAGGUAACGGCCCACCAAGGCGACGAUCGGUAGCCGGACUGAGAGGUUGAACGGCCACCUUGGGACUGAGACACGGCCCAGACUCCUACCGGAGGCAGCGGUGGGGAAUAUUGCACAAUGGGGGAAACCCUGAUGCAGCGACGCCGCGUGGAGGAAGAAGGUCUUCGGAUUGUAAACUCCUGUUGUUGAGGAAGAUAAUGACGGUACUCAACAAGGAAGUGACGGCUAACUACGUGCCAGCAGCCGCGGUAAAACGUAGGUCACAAGCGUUGUCCGGAAUUACUGGGUGUAAAGGGAGCGCAGGCGGGAAGACAAGUUGGAAGUGAAAUCCAUGGGCUCAACCCAUGAACUGCUUUCAAAACUGUUUUUCUUGAGUAGUGCAGAAGUAGGCGGAAUUCCCGGUGUAGCGGUGGAAUGCGUAAAUAUCGGGAGGAACACCAGUGGCUAAAGCGGCCUACUGGGCACCAACUGACGCUGAGGCUCGAAAGUGUGGGUAGCCAACAGGAUUAGAUACCCUGGUAAUCCACACUGUAAACGAUGAUUACUAAGUGUUGGAGGAUUGGCCCCUUCAGUGCCGCAGUUGACACAAUAAGUAAUCCACUUGGGGAGUUCGGCCGCAAGGUUGAAACUCAAAGGAAUUGACGGGGGCCCGCGCAAGCAGUGGAGUAUGUGGUUUAAUUCGUCGCAACGCGAGGAGCCUUACCAAGUCUUGACAUCCCUUGACGAUGCUGGAAACAGUAUUUCUCUUCGGAGCAAGGAGACAGGUGGUGCAUGGUUGUCGUCAGCUCGUGUCGUGAGAUGUUGGGUUAAGUCCCGCCCCGAGCGCAACCCUUAUGGUCAGUUACUUCGCAAGAGGAUUCUGGCCAGACUGCCGUUGACAAAACGGAGGAAGGUGGGGAUGACGUCAAAUCAUCAUGCCCUUUAUGGCUUGGGCUACACGCGUGCUACAAUGGCGUUAAACAGAGAGAAGCGAGGCCGCGAGGUAGAGCAAAACUCAGAAACAACGUCCCAGUUCGGACUGCAGGCUGCAACUCGCCUGCACGAAGUCGGAAUUGCUAGUAAUCGCAGAUCAGCAUGCUGCGGUGAAUACGUUCCCGGGCCUUGUGCCCUCCGCCCGUCCCCC